UACGUAGGUCCCGAGCGUUGUCCGGAUUUAUUGGGCGUAAAGCGAGCGCAGGUGGUUUAUUAAGUCUGGUGUAAAAGGCAGUGGCUCAACCAUUGUAUGCAUUGGAAACUAGUAGACUUGAGUGCAGGAGAGGAGAGUAGAAUUCCAUGUGUAGCGGUGAAAUGCGUAGAUAUAUGGAGGAACACCGGUGGCGAAAGCGGCUCUCUGGCCUGUAACUGACACUGAGGCUCGAAAGCGUGGGGAGCAAACAGG
rnacentral:rRNA from 1 species